rnacentral:rRNA from 1 species
GAUCCUGGCUCAGGAUGAACGCUAGCGACAGGCUUAACACAUGCAAGUCGAGGGGGCAGCAUGAUUUGUAGCAAUACAGAUUGAUGGCGACCGGCGCACGAGUGAGUAACGCGUAUGCAACUUACCUAUCAGAGGGGGGAUAGCCCGGCGAAAGUCGGAUUAAUACCCCAUAAACAGGGGUCCCGCAUGGGAAUAUUUGUUAAAGAUUCAUCGCUGAUAGAUAGGCAUGCG